CAGUGGAUUUAGAAGAGACAAGAAGACAUGCACAUCGAGUGAAAUACUCUGAAUCUAGCUGGUUUUGCACAUUAUGCGGAGAUGGUGUUGUACCCAGAAUAAUGCCAUGCCGUAUGUAUCAUGGCGAAAGUUCUGAAGGCAAAAUCUUUGACGGUUUUACUAAGCAUAUCAAAGAGUAGAGAUCAUGCGGAACAUGAGAUGGAGAGGGUGAGAUAUCCUUUAAGCAUUGAUAUGGAGCGUCUUUAUGCUAAAUUAGGUAGAGGAAAAACUGAAGAUGGUGGAGAAGAAGAGGGAGAAGAAGAAGAAGAAGAAGAAGAAGAUUAUUAUGCUGAUUAUGAGUGGGAUCACCUCUCCGUCUAGAGAUAAUAAUCUAUAGAUCACUUGCAUAGGAUGCCCCAAAGGGUGCGGGGGUGUUGUUCUUUAUCGCAUUUCAUAAUUUGUGUGGUUUAUUCACACUAAUACUAGAGACUUGCUUAUUUUCAUCUCUUUUUUUUUGUCAACUUGUUUCCAUUACGGUUUCUAACUCCAGUAGAAUUAUUAUUGUAUUUUCAGCGAUUUUUCUUUCUAAUUUAUCGUAAAUAGUA